rnacentral:snRNA from 1 species
CAAGCACGGCCUGCUCUGCGCUCGCCGGAAUCACACAGAGGCGAUUGGCACGGCCCCUGCGCGAGGACGACGCUACAAAUUUGUGAGCGUCCCAUAUUUUU